GAUGAACGCUAGCUGGAGGCUUAAUACAUGCAAGUCGAGCGGGAUUGGGUAGCAAUACCCAUGAGAGCGGCGCACGGGUGAGUAACGCGUACACGACCUACCUCUAACAGGGGGAUAGCCCUGGGAAACUGGGAUUAAUACCGCAUAUAAUUCUGACAAAUAAAGAGUUGGAAUGAAAGUUCAGGCGGUUAGAGAUGGGUGUGCGUCUGAUUAGCUAGUUGGUAGGGUAACGGCCUACCAAGGCGAUGAUCAGUAGGGGGCGUGAGAGCGUGGUCCCCCACACGGGUACUGAGACACGGACCCGACUCCUACGGGAGGCAGCAGUAAGGAAUAUUGGACAAUGGCCGCAAGGCUGAUCCAGCCGUCCAGCGUGCAGGAAGAAGGCCCUAUGGGUUGUAAACUGCUUUUGUCAGGGAAUAAACCUGUGGAUUCACUCCGCAGCUGAAGGUACCUGAAGAAUAAGCACCGGCUAACUCCGUGCCAGCAGCCGCAGUAACAC
rnacentral:rRNA from 1 species